rnacentral:rRNA from 1 species
UGGGGAAUAUUGCACAAUGGAGGGAACUCUGAUGCAGCGACGCCGCGUGAACGAAGAAGGCUUUCGAGUCGUAAAGUUCUUUUAUAUGGGAAGAUAAUGACGGUACCAUAAGAAAAAGCCCCGGCUAACUACGUGCCAGCAGCCGCGGUAAUACGUAGGGGGCUAGCGUUGUCCGGAAUCACUGGGCGUAAAGGGUUCGCAGGCGGAAAUGCAAAUCAGGUGUAAAAGGCAGUAGCUUAACUACUGUAAGCAUUUGAAACUGCAUAUCUUGAGAAGAGUAGAGGUAAGUGGAAUUUUUAGUGUAGCGGUGAAAUGCGUAGAUAUUAAAAAGAAUACCGGUGGCGAAGGCGACUUACUGGGCUCAUUCUGACGCUGAGGAACGAAAGCGUGGGUAGCAAACAGG